rnacentral:rRNA from 1 species
GAUGAACGCUGGCGGCGCGCCUAAUACAUGCAAGUCGAGCGAACGGACGAGAAGCUUGCUUCUCUGAUGUUAGCGGCGGACGGGGGAGUAACACGUGGAGAACCUACCUAUAAGACUGGGAUAACUUCGGGAAACCGUAGCUAAUACCGGAUAAUAUUUUGAACCGCAUGGUUCAAAAGUGAAAGACGGUCUUGCUGUCACUUAGAGAUGGAUCCGCGCUGCAUUAGCUAGUUGGUAAGGUAACGGCUUACCAAGGCAACGAUGCAUAGCCGACCUGAGAGGGUGAUCGGCCACACUGGAACUGAGACACGGUCCAGACUCCUACGGGAGGCAGCAGUAGGGAAUCUUCCGCAAUGGGCGAAAGCCUGACGGAGCAACGCCGCGUGAGUGAUGAAGGUCUUCGGAUCGUAAAACUCUGUUAUUAGGGAAGAACAUAUGUGUAAGUAACUGUGCACAUCUUGACGGUACCUAAUCAGAAAGCCACGGCUAACUACGUG